rnacentral:rRNA from 1 species
UACGUAGGGUGCGAGCGUUGUCCGGAAUUACUGGGCGUAAAGAGCUCGUAGGUGGUUUGUCGCGUUGUUCGUGAAAACCGGGGGCUUAACCCUCGGCGUGCGGGCGAUACGGGCAGACUGGAGUACUGCAGGGGAGACUGGAAUUCCUGGUGUAGCGGUGGAAUGCGCAGAUAUCAGGAGGAACACCAAUAGCGAAGGCAGCUCGCUGGGACGUUACUGACACUGAGGCGCGAAAGCGUGGGGAGCGAACAGG